UACGAAGGGUGCAAGCGUUACUCGGAAUCACUGGGCGUAAAGCGUGCGUAGGCGGUUGAUUAAGUCUGCUGUGAAAGCCCUGGGCUCAACCUGGGAAUGGCGGUGGAUACUGAGAAGCUGGAGUACGGUAGAGGAAGGUGGAAUUCCCGGUGUAGCGGUGAAAUGCGUAGAGAUCGGGAGGAACAUCAGUGGCGAAGGCGGCCUUCUGGACCAGUACUGACGCUGAGGCACGAAAGCGUGGGGAGCAAACAGG
rnacentral:rRNA from 1 species